GAGACUUCCUCAGUCCGGGCUUCACGCAUCUGCAGUGCUGCGCCGGGACCCGGGAGUGUCCUCCGCCACCUGCCGGCGAGACCACAUUCCUGUCCUUGCCACACCGCUGCCUCAGCACCUUCACGUCAUGAUAUAUUUUAAAUCCCAGCCACGUCCCUCCCACCCUCCGCUGCUGCCGGGACGGCGGACGAGUGGCGACGAGGAAGAUCAGUGGAGUUAAUCCGAAAACAGUGAUGGCAGCCUCCAGCCAUGACUGAGUGGUGGUGCUGGGCUGUGGGUCCCUUGUCACACACCCCUGCAUUGCUGUCAAGCUGAGCAACACCACAACUUACCCAAGCAAUACCAAGCCAGCUUGGUUUUGGCCAGUUCCAGCUCCAGCUCCCGCACCUGCUGCUGGAGCCUGGUUACUGCAGGUGACUCCUCCAGACCCAUCUCUACUGUUGGGCCACAGACAGGGGAGAGCAAGGCACUACACUUCUCACAUGAAGCCACCUUAGCCUGCAACACAACACUCCAUUAUCUUCAGCACCAAGCUCAAAUACAAAAAUUUAAACUUGUGUAGGUAUAUGAAUAUAUUUAGAAUAGAAGCUAAUGAGACA